AUAGUCGUAUCGAAUUAAUGACAAACAUGCGUGUUUUUUUGUUGUUUUUUGUGACGAAUCAUAGCGGUGUAACACAACGUUGGAAUAUAUACCUUCUUGAUAUGAUAUGGAUUAUAUACACUACUACACCAAAAUAAUACUGAAAUUUAGUUUGAAGAGCCAGUAAAUGUAAUUGUAUAGAUAGGAUCUACUUGCACGUUUGCACAAGUGUUUUUCAAACAAGAUGUCAGUAGUUUUCCAAUAGAAUACAUUUAAUUUGCCUUCACAGUUAGUGGGUUCUGAACCAAAAAUUAUAUAGUACUGUAGUGAAGCUUCAAAUCAUAUUCAAGGUGAACUGUUAUUUCUGCAGUGUUGUUAGAGGUUUUUUGACAUGGUUAUCUGCAGUUUCUUUUCUAGUGAUUCCAAUGUCAGAUAGAAGGAGAUGAAGUAUAUCAUGAAUGUUUGGACUAUUGUGCUGUCGGUGAAUCAUUAAAUAUGUCUAUAGGAGAAGGAGAGAAAUUUAAAAGCCUGAAUUUUGCUGUAUAGUUAGUAUACCAGUGUUAAAAUUAACGUCGAAGGUAUACGAAAGGAACCUUUGAGUUAGUUAUUUGAAGUAUCUACGCAACUGAGAUUUUGCAGAAAUACUUUCACAAAUGUACUGGGAAAUUCGUAUUUAUUGUAAAUAGUAAUUGCGGUAUCGAUUAUAUAUUUUUAAUUUAAAAAGAAAAAUGACGUAGAGAAAGCAGGGAGUAUUUUAAUGCAAAGGUGGGAGCAAUGGAAAGAUAGAAUUUAUAUUUGUUCAUAAGGUAUUGUCGAAGCAGUGAGGCAACAGAAUAAGAAAAAUGAGAGGAUUUUAAAACAGCAUAGGAAAGAGAAGAACGUCUUAAGAGGAGAGGUGGCUUAUUAUCUGCAACAUACUUCGUAGAAGGUAUCAAGGCAAAGGAGAAGAGCGGAUUGUGAACAAAGUUUGAUAUAUAAAUGCUAUACUUGAGAGCAGACAUGUAGAUAAAGCAAACAUAAUCAAAUUAAAUACGGAUUAGAGAUCUGUAAACUCUCUGUCAAUUCGGAGUUAAAGACUAGAUGUUUUUCUAGAAACUUUUUGAAUGUAGAAGGGAACGUUGAUAAAUAUCAUCUACUAUUAUAUGACCCCCUACGAUUAAAAUACCGUUUAACUUGAAAUAGUGUUCAACUUAUUUUAUUCACAAUAAAAUAAUUUUAAAACU